UCUCUGGACGUUCUUGGUCAACGGUCAUCGCCUAGACUUAACUGUCUUCCUAAGGUUCAGUGAGGCAAGCAGUAACUUUCUGACCUCUCCAUCCAUCUUGUGCCUUGGAAGCCUCUACACUUCUCCCAAGCGCAUUAUCCGCCUUGGGCCAUCAUCUCUCAAUCUCCGUUACUCCUAGAUCCAUCCUCAUGGCUGAGGAAAUGUAUGACUGGUGCCUCAAACAUGCUCCUCAAAAAAGGAAACAGUUGAAAGAGUAUUUCAAGCUCCUGAACAGAUUUGCGGAAGACAACAAUGAGAGGCUGAUGAGAAACAAUGCCGAAUUGAGGAAAGUUUGGGAAAGGCAGAAGGCAGCUUUAGAAGGUUUAAGAGAGCGUCUAGCACAAGAAAAGGAAAGAAACCAAGUGGAAAUGCCAGAACAGGUAUCAGACUCCUCCUUCUUCUUCUUCGUUUUUAAGUAGUAAUAAUAAUAAUUUUAUAUUAUACAUUUCACAAUAGAUUUAAAAUAAAAACACUAAUGCUUCAUGCAAUUUGUCAAAACAAUUUACAAAAUUGUUUCCUUAGCUAUAAACCUCAUAACCUUUUUUGACCUAUUCUGUUAAUUGUCAUCAUUCUUUAUGAUCGCUCGCUUUCAAAAAGAUAAAGAAGAGGUAAAUAUUCCUGUACCUAAAACUCAUCUUCUUCUUA